rnacentral:tRNA from 1 species
ACCUGGCUGGCUCAGUCGGAGGAGCAUGCGACUCUUGAUCUCAGGAAUGUGAGUUCAAGCCCCAUGCUGGGAG